rnacentral:misc_RNA from 1 species
AAGUCGUAACAAGGUUUCCGUAGGUGAACCUGCGGAAGGAUCAUUAACACGUUAUCCAACGUUAUCAACCAACGCGAACUGUUUUCACCCUCCCCUCCUGACCAUGAAUUGCGGGCCUGUAGAGUUGUAUGAAUGGGGCCUUUGUGCCGACUCUAUUCGCCUCUGACUUAGCGUAGUUACCUACGUUGGGUUGGCAAUUGUAUCUCGCUGGAGGACUCCUCUCAUUGAUCUGUCUCCAUUCAUUGGCGUUUCAAUGGGAACCUAUUUUACCAUUUUCACCCCUUUUUUGCUAGUUGACUUUUAUAUGUUGUAUCGUGUUGCUUCGGCAAUAAGGUGCACACGUUUAAUUAUUUGAACGUUAAAAAUACAACUCUUAGCAAUGGAUAUCUUGGUUCUC